UAUAGAGAGCAUGAAUUUACAUGUAUAAAAGCAAUUAGAGUGCAUUCAAUGGCAAAAACACUGCAGAAAAUUGUUUUUAAAACAAAGUAUCUGGACUAUGCAUAAAGAACUGUCGUUAAAGAUACAAUGCUGGGACAGUGCAACAAUUUUUUGUCCUUUGUCUGUAUACUGGAUGUAACAUUUAAAUCCAUUAACAAGGAAUAAAUUAAAGAAUUGACAAAAUAACAUAUUAUUGAAUGUGCAUUAAAGUAUUAAAUUCAUAGGAAAAUACAUGAGAAAUACGUCACUUAAGAAUACUGUAAAUUUGUUGUAAAAUACUCAUAUACAUGACUAAAACCUAAAUGUCCAAAGCCAAUAAAUUGUGAAAGUAGAUAAGUACUCAAGUUUUUCAUCUUCUUUGGAAGUCAAUAAACCUGGCACAUUUGAUGACUUGAAACAACCAGGAAUAUUCUUCAUUAUGGCAGGAAUCUGUCAGAAGUCCCUCUAGUCCGAGUUUCUCCACUCAAACUCCAUUAGGUGGCGAAGAAAGGAUGACACUGUUGUUUAUUACUGUUGUCUUUCUCUUCACAACUUCCCCUGUCUUCCGACUCACUCCGGUUUUGGCGGUGCAUUUUGUUCCCUCCUCUGGGUUUAUCCUCAAGAAAAACCUUUAAGUAAGAAACAAUGAAUGUAAGA